UUGGUGUGUUCAGAGCAGGCGUCUUUCAGACCACAGACAGCCAGUUUAUACCACACCAUACAGCAGGACACAGCUGGAAAGAAAGAGAGGCAGAGCCCAGUGUCUGUCUGUUUCUUCUAGCUGCAUACAU
ensembl:snoRNA